rnacentral:rRNA from 1 species
GAUCAUUACAGAGUUGCAAAACUCCCUAAACCAUUGUGAAUCUACCUGUCCGUUGUUGCUUCGGCGGGCGGCCCCAGGGCGGGGCCGUGGCUGCGAGGCGUCCGCCGAAGCACCCCCAAACGCUCUGUUUUCAGUGGUCUUCAGAAUACUAUAGCGAAUUAAAAACAACUUUCAACGAUGGAUCUCUUGGCUCCAGCAUCGAUGAAGAACGCAGCGAAAUGCGAUACGUAAUGUGAAUUGCAGAAUUCCGUGAAUCAUCGAAUCUUUGAACGCACAUUGCGCCCGCCAGCAUUCUGGCGGGCAUGCCUGUCCGAGCGUCAUUUCGACCCUCAAGCCCCCCGGGGCUUGGUGUUGGGGCAUUCUACAGCGUCUGUAGUCCCCGAAAUGCAGUGGCGGGCUCGCCGAGUCUCCGAGCGUAGUAGCACCUAUUUCGUUCUGGACGGCCCGGUGGGCGCUAGCCGUUAAACCCCCUACUUUCUUAGUACUGGUUUGACCUCGGAUCAGGUAGGAAUACCCGCUGAACUUAAGCAUAUCAAUAAGCGGAGGAAAAGAAACCAACAGGGAUUGCCCCAGUAACGGCGAGUGAAGCGGCAACAGCUCAAAUUUGAAAUCUGGCUCCUUCUGGGGUCCGAGUUGUAAUUUGUAGAGGAAGCUUUUGGUGCGGCGCCUUCUGAGUUCCCUGGAACGGGACGCCACAGAGGGUGAGAGCCCCGUAUAGUCGGACGCCAAACCUUUGUAAAGCUCCUUCGACGAGUCGAGUAGUUUGGGAAUGCUGCUCAAAAUGGGAGGUAAAUUCCUUCUAAAGCUAAAUACCGGCUGGAGACCGAUAGCGCACAAGUAGAGUGAUCGAAAGAUGAAAAGCACUUUGAAAAGAGGGUUAAACAGCACGUGAAAUCGUUGAAAGGGAAGCGCUUGUGACCAGACGUGCGCCCGGGGGAUCAUCCAGCGUUCUGCGCUGGUGCACUCCGCCGGGCGCAGGCCAGCAUCGGUUUCCUCAGGGGGAUAAAAGCGGCGGGAACGUAGCUCCUUCGGGAGUGUUAUAGCCCGUCGUACAAUACCCCUGGGGGGACCGAGGU